GCGGUGUUUGGCACCUCGAUGUCGGCUCAUCACAUCCUGGGGCUGAAGUAGGUCCCAAGGGUAUGGCUGUUCGCCAUUUAAAGUGGUACGCGAGCUGGGGUUUAGAACGUCGUGAGACAGUUCGGUCCCUAUCUGCCGUGGGGCGUUGGAAGAUUGAGAGGGGGUUGCUCCUAGUACGAGAGGACCGGAGUGAACGCACCACUGGUGUUCGGGUUGUCAUGCCAAUGGCAUUGCCCGGUAGCUAAGUGCGGAAGAGAUAACCGCUGAAAGCAUCUAAGCGGGAAACUUGCCUCGAGAUGAGUCUUCCCUGUCACCUUGAGUGACCUAAAGGA
rnacentral:rRNA from 1 species